CAUCGCGGGAGGUCGGGGCGCCCCACGCGGGGCGGAGCGCGCGCGCCUCCUGCCGAGACGGGACCGGCCCUCCCUGGUGACCUUGACCGGUGUCACUCGGCGGCCGCGGCGACAGGCGACAGGAGCACCUAAUCCUAAGAAUCAAGGAUAAGAAAUCUUCAAGAGGAGAGAAGGAGUUAAAAUAUGGAAAGCAGAAAGAAGUCACAUUGGAAAGAAGGAAGGCAUGCGUGGGACCUGCUGGCAAGGCCUCAAAAGAAGUAAUUGAGUUUCUUGAAGGCUACAGAGUGGUCAAUGGACAGCCGGGUGUGUGGCCCCAGCCCUCGUCCCAGUCAGCCCUGUGUAGGCCAUCACUGCCGUCUUCAGAGACCUGCUUACCCUUUCUAUCAGCAUCAAUUUGUGUUUAUUGGCGUCCGGGACAGGAGCCAUGUGGUAUCCAUAAAAGGGAGAUAAACUAUCCCUGCUUCCUCCAAGAAGGGUCUAAGCUGCCCAGGCUGGACUAGCAGUUCUCCUGCCGUGGCCUCCCAGAGGGCUGAAAUUGUAGGUAUGCGCCACCACGUCCUGCUUUCUGAAUGCACAGUUGGAACUGAGAUACUUGGCAAUUGGAAUAAUAUGGCUCUUGAUCUGUGGAAUGAGAUGUUACAGUAGGAAAUUCUGACGAGGAGCCUGGUAACUACUCUUUUCUACUGAAAAGCAAGCCCAAAGCAAUACCACAUCCUGGGGGAGUUACAGGCAAUGCCAACAUGAAAGACUUGAAAAAUGCAGCGAUAGAGAUUUCUUUUUUUUUUUGGUCUUUUUGAGACAGGGUCU